CAGCCCUUGACAUGGCAGGACGGUUUCCAGAGAUGGAUUCCUUCACUUCGGUGACCUGCACACAGGUGCUGCAUGGCUGUCGUCAGCUCGUGUCGUGAGAUGUUGGGUUAAGUCCCGCAACGAGCGCAACCCUCGCCUUUAGUUGCCAUCAUUUAGUUGGGCACUCUAGAGGGACUGCCGGUGAUAAGCCGGAGGAAGGUGGGGAUGACGUCAAGUCUUCAUGGCCCUUACGGGCUGGGCUACACACGUGCUACAAUGGCGGUGACAGAGGGCAGCUAGUCCGCGAGGACAUGCUAAUCCCUAAAAGCCGUCUCAGUUCGGAUUGCACUCUGCAACUCGAGUGCAUGAAGUUGGAAUCGCUAGUAAUCGCAGAUCAGCACGCUGCGGUGAAUACGUUACC
rnacentral:rRNA from 1 species